UUAAGUUCAGCGGGUAUCCCUACCUGAUCCGAGGUCAAAAUUGUGAAGAUAGCUUCUGGGAGCCAAUACGACGGGCCCGAGUUCGCGUUUCUGCUGCGCUCGAAGCCAAUGUACCGGCCGCCAAUAAUUUUGAGGCGAGCCCGCAGUGAAGCGGACAGUCACCCAACACAAGCUUAGCUUGAAGGUUUAAAUGACGCUCG
rnacentral:misc_RNA from 1 species